rnacentral:lncRNA from 1 species
GCUCUUCUCAAAUCAUCAAACACACUCACUCACGUCAAACCCUCACAAGCCAGCAAGCAAGCAGUCAUCGUCGUCUUCAUCCUAUGCCCGUUACGGUCCUUUCCAUCAGCCAGUAGUCGUCACCGCAUCUCACUUUCUCUGUAUGCAAAUCCUAGACCUGCGAGCCGAAUCAAGUGGUGGAUUUCAAUCAGAGGCCAUCGUUGACCGUUAAAAAGAGUCAUCAUCUCUUGCGCUGCCAAAGCAUGGAGAAGGUUGGGGAUCAAAUUCAUUAAAACCGAUCGGGUAUAACUUAUAAAAAAA